AGGGUUUGAUCAUGGCUCAGAGUGAACGCUGGCGGUGCGCCUAAAACAUGCAAGUCGAGUGGAUUUACAUCCACGGCGGACGGCUGCGUAACACGUGGGUACCUACCUCGAACUCAGGGAUAACCCGCCGAAAGGCGGGGUAAUACCGGAUGCCCCCGCAAGGGGAAAGAUUUAUCGGUUCGAGAGGGGCCUGCGGCCUAUCAGCUAGUUGGUAAGGUAACGGCUUACCAAGGCUAUGACGGGUAGCUGGUCUGAGAGGACGACCAGCCAGAAUGGAAUUGAGACACGGUCCAUACUCCUACGGGAGGCAGCAGUUAGGAAUCUUCCACAAUGGGCGAAAGCCUGAUGGAGCGACACCGCGUGAAGGAUGAAGCCCUUUUUGGGUGUAAACUUCUGUUCUGAGGGAAGAAAUUAUUGACGGUACCUCAGGAGAAAGCACCGGCUAAUUCCGUGCCAGCAGCCGCGGUAAUACGGAAGGUGCAAGCGUUACUCGGAAUUACUGGGCGUAAAGCGUCUGCAGGCGUCUGGGAAAGUCCGGCAUAAAAGUUCGGAGCUCAACUCCGUGAUGUGUUGGAAACUUCUCAGAUUGAGUCAUUCAGAGGCAUCUGGAAUGUCGUGUGUAGGGGUAAAAUCCGUAGAUACACGAUGGAACGCCAAAAGCGAAGGCAGGAUGCUGGGAAUGUACUGACGCUCAGAGACGAAAGCGUGGGGAGCAAAGGGGAUUAGACACCCCCGUAGUCCACGCCCUAAACGAUGUGUGCUCGGUGUGGGGACUUUCAAUCUGUCUCCGUGCCCUAAGCUAACGCGGUAAGCACACCGCCUGAGUAGUACGGCCGCAAGGCUAAAACUUAAAGGAAUAGACGGGGACCCACACAAGCGGUG
rnacentral:rRNA from 1 species